GGAUUAGAUACCCUGGUAGUCCAUGCUGUAAACGGUGCACACUAGGUGUAGGGGGUAUCGACCCCUCCUGUGCCGCCGCAAACGCAUUAAGUGUGCCGCCUGGGGAGUACGACCGCAAGGUUGAAACUCAAAGGAAUUGACGGGGGCCCGCACAAGCGGUGGAGGAUGUUGUUUAAUUCGAAGCAACGCGAAGAACCUUACCUGGGCUUGAACUGUAGCUUAUAUCCGGUGAAAGUCGGUGGACCUUCGGGUCGUGCUAUAGAGGUGCUGCAUGGCUGUCGUCAGCUCGUGUCG
rnacentral:rRNA from 1 species